rnacentral:rRNA from 1 species
AUUCGUCACACUAUUAUUAACUGAAUCCAUAGGUUAAUGAGGCGAACCGGGGGAACUGAAACAUCUAAGUACCCCGAGGAAAAGAAAUCAACCGAGAUUCCCCCAGUAGCGGCGAGCGAACGGGGAGCAGCCCAGAGCCUGAAUCAGUGUGUGUGUUAGUGGAAGCGUCUGGAAAGGCGCGCGAUACAGGGUGACAGCCCCGUACACAAAAAUACACAUACUGUGAGCUCGAUGAGUAGGGCGGGACACGUGGUA